UACGUAGGUGGCAAGCGUUGUUCGGAAUUACUGGGCGUAAAGGGCGUGUAGGCGGUCUUCUAAGUCAGACGUGAAAUCCCCCGGCUUAACCUGGGAACUGCGUCUGAUACUGGGAGGCUUGAGUAUGGGAGAGGGAUGUAGAAUUCCAGGUGUAGCGGUGAAAUGCGUAGAUAUCUGGAGGAACACCGGUGGCGAAGGCGGCAUCCUGGACCGGCAUUGACGCUGAGGCGCGAAAGCCAGGGGAGCAAACGGG
rnacentral:rRNA from 1 species